rnacentral:rRNA from 1 species
CCUACGGGUGACAGCAGUAGGGAAUAUUGCUCAAUGGGCGAAACCCUGAAGCAGCAACGCCGCGUGCAGGAUGAAGGUUCUCUGAUUUUAAACUCCUUUUUUUAGAGAAGUUAAUGACAGUAUCUAUCGAAUAAGCACCGGCGAACUCCGUGCCAGCUGCCGCGGUAAUGCGGAGGGUGCAAGCGUUACUCGGAAUCACUAGGCGUAAAGAGCGCGUAGGCGGGAUAGCAAGUCAGAUGGGAAAUCCUAGGGCUUAACCAUAGAACUGCUUUUGAAACUGUUAAUCUAGAGUAUGGGAGAGGUAGGUGGAAUUCUUGGGGUAGGGGUAAAAUCCGUAGAGAUCAAGAGGAAUACUGAUUGCGAAGGCGACCUGCUAGAACAUAACUGACGCUGAUGCGCGAAAGCGUGGGGAGCAAACAGGAUUAGAUACCCUUGUAGUC